CUGAGCUGGCAACAUACCAGCUCCGUUUCCUGUUCCAUAUCAAACAUUCACUACAGCACAUCUCCCCAUGUGGAAAGAAGGAAUGUGACAGAAAGACCAAUUUAUGCUGAAGCAGACCAGACACUCCACCGGUCAUCCUGAGCUGCUGAGAGGCGAAUAUAAAGAACUGAGGAACACGAGUCUGUCUCCCUCUACUGGACCCAAAUUAAGGCUUGGAUUUGAAAUGAGAUCACAUGGUAAUUUCUUGGUAUGCCCAAACAUCAGACAAAAAAAUGAAUGAACCCUUGAGUUGUAAACCUGACCCAGACCAGACUGCAUCACACAGGCUGCAUCUAUGAGGAACAUGAAGCAAUUUGGG